rnacentral:rRNA from 2 species
UACGGAGGAUGCAAGCGUUAUCCGGAAUUAUUGGGCGUAAAGCGUCCGUAGAUGGUUUUGCCAGUCGGCUGUCAAAGCGCAGGGCUUAACCCUGUAAAGGCAGUGGAAACUACAAGACUAGAGUGCAGUAGGGGCAGAGGGAAUUCCCAGUGUAGCGGUGAAAUGCGUAGAGAUUGGGAAGAACACCCGUGGCGAAAGCGCUCUGCUGGACUGCAACUGACAUUGAGGGACGAAAGCUAGGGGAGCGAAUGGG